AUUGAACGCUGGCGGCAUGCUUUACACAUGCAAGUCGAACGGCAGCGCGGGGCAACCUGGCGGCGAGUGGCGAACGGGUGAGUAAUACAUCGGAACGUACCCAGAAGUGGGGGAUAACGUAGCGAAAGUUACGCUAAUACCGCAUACGUUCUACGGAAGAAAGUGGGGGAUCUUCGGACCUCAUGCUUUUGGAGCGGCCGAUGUCUGAUUAGCUAGUUGGUGAGGUAAAAGCUCACCAAGGCGACGAUCAGUAGCUGGUCUGAGAGGACGACCAGCCACACUGGGACUGAGACACGGCCCAGACUCCUACGGGAGGCAGCAGUGGGGAAUUUUGGACAAUGGGCGCAAGCCUGAUCCAGCAAUGCCGCGUGAGUGAAGAAGGCCUUCGGGUCGUAAAGCUCUUUUGUCAGGGAAGAAACGGCUGGGGCUAAUAUCCCCGGCUAAUGACGGUACCUGAAGAAUAAGCACCGGCUAACUACGUGCCAGCAGCCGCGGUAA
rnacentral:rRNA from 1 species